rnacentral:rRNA from 1 species
ACAACUCAUCAACCCUGUGAACAUACCUAAAACGUUGCUUCGGCGGGAACAGACGGCCCCGUGAAACGGGCCGCCCCCCGCCAGAGGACCCCCUAAUUCUGUUGCUAUAUGUAUCUUCUGAGUAAACAAGCAAAUAAAUUAAAACUUUCAACAACGGAUCUCUUGGCUCUGGCAUCGAUGAAGAACGCAGCGAAAUGCGAUAAGUAAUGUGAAUUGCAGAAUUCAGUGAAUCAUCGAAUCUUUGAACGCACAUUGCGCCCGCCAGUAUUCUGGCGGGCAUGCCUGUUCGAGCGUCAUUACAACCCUCAGGCCCCCGGGCCUGGCGUUGGGGAUCGGCGAGGCGCCCCCCUGCGGGCACGCGCCGUCCCCCAAAUACAGUGGCGGUCCCGCCGCAGCUUCCAUUGCGUAGUAGCUAACACCUCGCAACUGGAGAGCGGCGCGGCCAUGCCGUAAACACCCAACUUCUGAAUGUUGACCUCGAAU